UACGUAGGGGGCGAGCGUUGUCCGGAGUUACUGGGCGUAAAGCGCACGUAGGCGGCUUUGCAAGUCAGAGGUGAAAGCCCGGGGCUCAACCCCGGAAUUGCCUUUGAGACUGCAUCGCUAGAAUUGUGGAGAGGUAAGUGGAAUUCCGAGUGUAGAGGUGAAAUUCGUAGAUAUUCGGAAGAACACCAGUGGCGAAGGCGACUUACUGGACGCAUAUUGACGCUGAGGUGCGAAAGCGUGGGGAGCAAACAGG
rnacentral:rRNA from 1 species